CCCUGUGAUGAAUUUUCCCGCGGAAAACAUGAACCAUUUCUGACUGAAUUGUUUGACAAAGGCCUCUUACUGGAGUACAGUAUCAUUACUGAGGGGAAAUAUAACAUUAUUCAUUUAAUUCCACAAAAGGCCUGUAACGUACUGCAGCUUCCUGCAGGCAACGUGAAACAUUGCUGAGGGAGAACUUUAUUCACAACAAAAGGAUAAAGAUGAAGAGGCGGGACUUGAGCAGCUUGUGAUGGCUGUAAUUGUAAAGAAUGGAUCUUCUAGGAGUGGCAGCCCAAAGGAUGCUGGAAUUGUUAUUGAGGCCUUAAAGGUGUUCACAGGGCAGGCUUUAUCCUCACUGGAUUGGA